UCUUAACUGUUUCCAUUGUUACUUUGGAUAAAAUGUCACACAAUCCUUAGGAAAACCACUCGAGCCAGCACGUACCUGUAGUAAAUCUGUUCUCCUCUUACAGUUUAUCAGUGAAAAUUUUGUAUAUGAAUCAUUAAAGGAAAACAUAAAUGUUUGGAUGGAGCAUUAUAGCAAAUUAGCUAAUCAUAUAGAAAAAUUGAAGGACCAUGUAGAAGAAACUACAUGUUCUUUCUAAUAGAGAAGAAAUAGGCACCCUUGAAGAAAUGAGGAUUUGAACUUGUGCAUCUAUUUUCCCAGCCAGGUGAGCCAGGUCCAACUUCCUGUUUAGUUGGUUCUAGAUUGUAGUGUGAUUUUCUUGGUGGAUUUCCUCUGUUUGUUUGGAGAGUAUGUGAUGAUUUGAGGCACUGUUAUGCCUCAGAAGAAGACUCAGUUUUAAUAAAAAACGAGUAGCAUGGUUGACAUUAUCUGUUUCAAAUGUAUUGAAAAUUCGAUGUAUUUGAGAGUGUGUCUGCUAUUUGCAUAUUUUAAUUGGUUUCCAUUUUCUCAAUUUUCUGAAGCAUACUUUAUUUUCUUCAUGUCCUACGCUGAAGUUUAACCAUAUCUUAUGUUUAAACAGAGGAAUGGCAGAUCUUUGAUCAAACAACCACAUGCCCUGCACUAUCCUGCAUAUAUGCCUAGAGAAAAAGCAAAGUUACAGGCCAACAGUUUUGGCCAGUGAGCAAGCACAAAAGCAGGAAAAGAAGGGAUUAACCUAAAGCUAAAGCGGCAUCUCUUUUGCCCGCAUCUUUUCUAGGGCAACGAACAUUUCCAAGGAGACAGUGUAUGUGGAGUGCACCCCGUAGCACACGUAGAAGAUGGUGAUCACAAGGCUCCAGAUGCCGAACCUCUGAAAGGACCUCACCUUCAGGGUUGUCAUGAGGAACACAUUCAGGAAGACGGACGCGGCAGCCGGCCAUGGCAUCAGAGGAACCGUCCACUCCGACGGUGGCCUGGUUGCGCCCUGCUGUGCUGUGCAGUGGAAGAUUGCGACGACCGCCACUGACAUCGCGCCGAACAAUGCCAUCCCCCACCGCCACUUCCCGUCGAUCCUCCUCGAGAGGGAGAAGCCGAUUGAGCUUAGUGUCAGGAGCAGCAGGAAGAGGAGGACGUGGAGCGGCCGGGUCGCGCCGAGCUUGGCGUACCGGUGGUAGAUGAGCGCGUUGGCCACCAGGUAGAAGGCCAGGAGUGUUCCGAUCGAUAUCAUCUCGAACACUAUCUGCAGCUCAGUGAAGAGCGCGAUUGAUGCCGUGCAGAGUCCUGGAUAUUGACAGAGCCUCUAAGUCUUACAUACACAA